AAUCAAGGGCCGUGAAUCUACUUGGGGGAGGUAAAGGAGAGGGAAGCUACUGUAUUGAUUCUGUCUAGUUAGAGAUUUUGUCCCCUAAAUAAUAAUAAAGACUAAAAAAUUCGGAAUUGAAACAGUGAGAUGAAAGAUAGGAGGGGAUGGGGGUUAAACAGUAGAGGAGACUAUUGAGAGUUCCAUGAAAAUGGAAAUUGAAAAGAAGAAGGAAGAAGAAGAUAAUCAUCAGAUCAGAUCAGAUGAUGGAGAUGGGGACACAAAUCCCCUCCACCCCCACUCUUACUUUUUCUCCAAAACUUCGGAAACAUCAAAUCCAUCCAUCCAUCCAAAUGCCAUUCCCACUCCACCUCCCCCUCAGACCUCAGUACUGCUGCUGUCAAUUGAGUGAUCAUGCCUCUACUGUACUUGCUUUCUCCUACUACUCCUUCAUUAUUGCUCUGCUGCAACAUUGUCUGCGUUGAAGAAAAAAGCAUAUAAAGUUCGCAGCCCAUUAUUGCCAGUUCAUUAGGUGAUCCUAAAGCAGCUUAAAGGGCGUGACUAGAACAUGUUUUAUACGAAUUCACGCAAAUUAAGGGCAAUACUAUUUUCAUCAUGAACAUUUAUUCUAUAUUUUAAUUUCCUAUGCCCCUUACUGGAUAACAGUCUUCAUUUAUUGGACGGACUACUUCGCUUGUGGGUGAAGGAAAAAGGGAAAGAAAAGAACUAUAGUGAGAAGCUAUUUCACAGAACAGGAUAAACAAAAACUGGGUAAACUAAGAUACGCAUGGCCAACGCUUCUACUCCUGAACUAGGCCUCCCUUCUUGUAAUAAUACCCCCUCCCCCCUACUCUGUCUGCUCUGGCUACAGUUACAAAAGGACACCAGACAAAGGUAAAAAAGUGAAGGUAAAAAAGACAAGGAAAUGAUGACACUUUUACCCGCUAGCUCAUUCCCAACAAGCACUCGUACAUAAUUUCUAGCGAUUUGGAUGGAUCUAACAUGUACCCACUAAACUUAACAAGACAUGGCUAGUAAACAUUCUGUUGAAAGAAACCAUUCGUGGGAAGUGCAGAGAAAAAGUUGUUCUACCUAGCUAGUAGUAGUGGUACAAAAACACUUACUUGUCUGAGUGGGUAAUUUUUUCUACUUUGUUUCCACUCUGCAAGUAUGAGCGUGUGCCUGCACAGGACACCACUUUAUCUGCACUGCACAUUCUUCUUCCCACGAAAUUCCCCAUUGUCGAAUGGCUCAAACAGCAAUUAUACGUUCCUGAAACUCGAGACACAUCUGAUAGAUAUAUCUCAACAGAUGAGGAUUUCGGUAGAGUAAUCACCCAAAAACAAUAUUUACUUAUGAUAUAAUAUCAUAAACAAGCCAGGUCAGCAGGUCAAGCCAUUCAAAUACCUAUUUAUAUGGUGCAAAACUAGAAGCUCGUGUCAUUGGCUAAAACCCGUCUUCUGCUUUCCAUGUGAUUAAUGACUAACAUACAUAUUCGAUAAGAUAACACCGGCUGCCAAUCAUAUACUUCUAAACUCUCAUUAAGCAGAAUCUAAGGAUGUAGAGACCUGAGACAAAUAAUCACUAUUGACGAAAUAAAAAUCACUGCUGAAUUAGGCUGAAGUUGACGUUCAGGUCGAUAGAAAAUGACAUGUUACCCCAGAAUUUCAAGAUGCUCUAUGGAGCAUGAUUAAUUGAUUAUAUGAGAUUUGAAGAUAACAUUUGUUAGUUGCCUUAUAUGUAUGUAACAGAAUCAUGCACUUGACAGCACCUUCCGAAUCUUUUCAUUUGAGACUUUUUCUUGAAUCUACAAAAUAAUUUCAACAAGUAAUAAUCAUUAGCCCACUCACCCACCAUAAUUUUGAAAGCCUUGGUCCUUUCAUUUCAACAAAAGCAGCUUGUUGAGAGCAAUUCAAUCUGAAUCCUGUGUGGUUAUGGUCCCAGGAAUCAUCCCACUAGUUCAGGGUCCUUUCAGUUACAGCCCAAUCAACACCCCCAACCGUAAAAAAUGUCAAUUCAUGACAAUAUAUUUCCUUCUCCCAUUAUGGCAGCAAAGUGGGUCUAUGGGUAAUCCUAUUAAUUGUGACUAAAAUGCAAUGAACACAAUCUCGCAUACUUUUCCUUUUCAUAUCAAAUGAUUAAGUGGUUUGAAGGUCUUUUGUCUUAUAUUGGGAGGUAUGAUUAGCACAGCUUGCAUAUCUACAGAAAUUAUCCAUAUAACUACGAAAAUCGUCAUGUAACUAAUCGCAACUUAAUUAAGCAUUUUGAUCUAGUGUUACUUCGAACAUUGGAGCCAACAUCAAAUAUUUAGAGAGAAAAGGAUUUCUUGUGCGUACCUGAGUUAAUGACUAAACACAGUGCCAACUUGAUUGCAAAGGGCCCAGGGAGUUAUCACGAACAAUAGAUAUGCCAUUGACCUUGGCUUCACUGGCGUCCCAUGUUUCAGUGCUCUAUACAAGUGGGAGCGUCCACAACAGAGAAAUGUGUUGCUGUCAUUUAGCAAAGAAGGCAGUGAC
rnacentral:lncRNA from 1 species